AUUGAACGCUGGCGGCAGGCCUAACACAUGCAAGUCGAACGAGUGGCGGACGGGUGUGUAAUGUCUGGGAAACUGCCUGCUGGAGGGGGAUAACUACUGGAAACGGUAGCUAAUACCGCAUACCAUCAGAUGUGCCCAGACGGGCUUAGCUAGUUGGUGGGGUAACGGCUCACCACAGCGACGAUCCCUAGCUGGUCGGAGAGGAUGACCAGCCACACUGGAACGGAGACACGGUCCAGACUCCUACGGGAGGCAGCAGUGGGGAAUAUUGCACAAUGGGCGCAAGCCUGAUGCAGCCAUGCCGCGUGUAUGAAGAAGGCCUUCGGGUUGUAAAGUACUUUCAGCGGGGAGGCGUUACCCGCAGAAGAAGCACCGGCUAACUCCGUGCCAGCCGCCGCGGUAAUUC
rnacentral:rRNA from 1 species